rnacentral:ncRNA from 1 species
UACCUGAUUGAUUCUGUCAGCGCGAUAUGCUCAAGUAAAAGAUUAAGCCAUGCAUGCUUUGAUUCAUAAAUGAAAUUGCGUACGGCUCAUUAGAGCAGAUAUCACCUUUCUCGGAAUCCUGAAAAGGAUAACUGCGGAAAUUCUGGAGCUAAUACAUGCGACUAUACUCCAACGCAAGGCGGGGUGCAAUUAUUAGAACAGACCAAACGUUUUCGGACGUUGUUUGUUGACUCUGAAUACCGUCGUUUACUGUCAGUUUCGACUGACUCUAUCCGAGAAGGGUGUCUGCCCUUUCAACUAGAUGGUAAUCUAUUGGACUACCAUGGUUGUUACGGGUAACGGAGAAUUAGGGUUCGACUCCGGAGAGGGAGCCUUAGAAACGGCUACCACGUCCAAGGAAGGCAGCAGGCGCGAAACUUAUCCACUGUUGAGUAUGAGAUAGUGACUAAAAAUAUAAAGACUCAUCCUUUGGAUGAGUUAUUUCAAUGAGUUGAAUAUAAAUUAUUCUUCGAGUAGCAAGGAGAGGGCAAGUCUGGUGCCAGCAGCCGCGGUAAUUCCAGCUCUCCUAGUGUAUCUCGUUAUUGCUGCGGUUAAAAAGCUCGUAGUUGGAUCUAGGUUACGUGCCGCAGUUCGCAAUUUGCGUUAACUGUGGUCGUGACUUCUAAUUUGCUGGUUUGAGGUUGGGUUCGCCCUUCAACUGCCAGCAGGUUUACCUUGAAUAAAUCAGAGUGCUCAAUACAGGCGCUUGCUUGAAUAGCUCAUCAUGGAAUAAUGAAACAGGACUUCGGUUCUUUUUGUUGGUUCUAGAAUUGAUCUAAUGGUUAAGAGGGACAAACCGGGGGCAUUCGUAUCAUUACGCGAGAGGUGAAAUUCGUGGACCGUAGUGAGACGCCCAAUAGCGAAAGCAUUUGCCAAGAAUGUCUUCAUUAAUCAAGAACGAAAGUCAGAGGUUCGAAGGCGAUUAGAUACCGCCCUAGUUCUGACCGUAAACGAUGCCAUCUCGCGAUUCGGAGGGUUCAUGCCCUACCGAGGAGCU